UACAGAGGGUGCGAGCGUUGUUCGGAAUCAUUGGGCGUAAAGCGCUUGUAGGCGGCUUGUUAAGUCGCGUGUGAAAUCCCUUGGCUCAACCAAGGAAGUGCGCGCGAAACUGGCGAGCUCGAGUGCCGGAGAGGGUCGCGGAAUUCCCGGUGUAGAGGUGAAAUUCGUAGAUAUCGGGAGGAACACCAGUGGCGAAGGCGGCGACCUGGACGGACACUGACGCUGAGGCGCGAAAGCGUGGGGAGCAAACAGG
rnacentral:rRNA from 1 species